AGCUAGCCCAUCCUCAUUUUCUUUUCUUCAUUUUCGGUCUCUCUCUCCUUUCUCGUUUCAUCCUCAAAGUCCGUCUCUCUCUCUCUCUCUCUCUCUCUCAAUGUCACGCUGAAAUAGCCUUCUCUCUCAAUACAAUUUGCGCCGCCUCUGAAGUCCGCGCCGCCGGCGAGUCGGCGUCCUCAUCUCCGGCGUCGCCUUCCUUUUGCUUUCGUCUUACCCUCUCCUUCUCUCCUCGACUUCUUCAUUCAAUUCCUCAAUUCUUCAAUCCGAGCCCUAGUUUCCACCAUUAAAACCGCCGCCGCCGCUGUUACUGGAGGCCCGGCGAGAGGUCAUCGUUCUAAGUCUGCUCUUCUAUCUGAAGGACCGGCGAAGCCGCGCCUCUUGACUGUUCCAGCCGCCGCCGCAGCUCCUGAUAAUCCGGCCAAGCGGACGUCUUCAACGGCUGCCCUCUCUCUACUCAAGUCAGACUCAAGCAUGCUCAAUCGAAAUCAGGAACCGUGCCCUAACUCCUUCCUUUCUCAAAUCGCCGCUGGGACCGCCGUCCUAUGCACGGGUCCGACGCGUCAUUUCUUAUCGUCGUGGUUCGCAAUCCGCCCCCUGUCUCACCCGAAGACUUGCCGCUGUCGGCGAUUCUUCUGUCUCGACGGGGUCAAGGUAGCCAUCCUCCGUCCGAUUUCAAGUCUCUCACACACACAGGUUGAGUACGAGGGUAAUGGGUAGAGUUAAGGUCAAGCUUUACCUCUUGAAGCUUGGCAGCCACUGAGUAAAUUCCUCUCUUUUGAUUGCUCAAGCACUAAGGAAGAAAUGAAAGUGAAUGUUGGCUGAUGGUCUUAAGGAUGAAGUGGGUUGGACUACAUUUGAGUGUCUGAAUUCUCUUUGUGAGGCAAGAGCAAUUGAUUGGCCACCUAAGGAGUAGUAUGGUGGCUGAAUGACGGCUGUCAUAGGGUGGCUGAUGGAGCAGCUAUAUAUACUAAAAGCAUGGCUGAUGGGGCAGCUAUAAGCAUGGCUUGGCAGGAGUUGAGUUAACGCUGGUAACUCCUCCCGUUAAGCCAUCAUUACAUUCUUGGGGACUGGUGUAUUCCGGCAUCAGAAUUCGGCAAUUUUACGUGGCCGAAUGUUCGGCAACACAUACAAAUGUACAUUUUGGGCGCCAUUUUAGAAAUCAGAUUUCAUAUUUGUGUAUUUUUCGUCGAUCCCUCUUUCAUCUCGCAUCUCUCUCACCAUGCGACCGAAAAUCCCCCGCCGCCCCACUCCACCGCUCCCACUGCUCUCCUUCACCACCGGUCCACCACCAUCGCCUAGUGUCUAUUCUUAUCUCUUUAUUGUUAGUUUUAUAUUUUCUCUUUCUCUUUCUCUCACUUAAUUUCUCAUCUCUCUCUCUCACAGUGGUUUCCGCGUUCCACCUCCGCUCCACCGCCUGAACACCUUUGACGGUGAAGUCUCUCAUUCGUCGUCGCCGUCGCCAUCCCCUACUCGAUUUCAGCUGUUGCCCGCGUCCACCACCUCCGCUCCACCACCGCCUGAACACCUUUGACGGUGAAGUCUCUCAUUCGCCGUCGCCGUCGCCGUCGCCAUCCCUUACUCGAUUUCAGAUAAGCUUUGUCAAAAUUUCCAUUGCUAAUUAAUUUGUUCGAAUUUCUUUGUUGUCUUUCUCUUUCUGCUUGGUUUUGAGUUUCUAUGGUUCAGCUUGAGCUUUACUCAUUAAGAUCUGAUUUCUAGAAUAGUAAACCAAAUCUUUGAAUUAAUUUAAGUCAUUGGUGAUUCUCUAUUUAGUUAAAUUUCUUCCUCAAGCUACAUUUCACUCCUUUUCAUAUACGAAUUGGAUCUAUUUUAUGUUGCUUUUCUUAUUACAUUGUGGAGACUGGAGAAUCUGGGGUAGUUGGUGACUUGGUGUAUAUAAUUUGGAAAUGUAAGAUCAUGAAUGUAUACAUGUUGUCUUAGGGGGCAUUCGAUUGGCUGUGUUAUGCAACAGAUAAAACUAACCGCCAACAUUUGAAAUAUUAGAUCGUAACCACCCCAAAAUAUAAAGAAUCUUAGCCAGAAUUCAUGCACAUCCAUACCCACUUUUGCCCGAGUCACCUUUCUUUUAGACCCCCUUCAUCGCCCUAUCCAAAUAUUCUAUUUCUUAUCUCCGAUCAAUCUCCUUUAAACAUCCAUUAGUACUAGAAACAUUUCAUGUAGUUGGCAAGUUGGACACUUGGUCUUGAAGAGAAUCUAUCAUAUUAAUUAGAAUAACAUAGUCACAUAUGUUGAAGUGUAAGAAUUCCCUACAAUUGUUGGACAGAUUGAACUAAAUAACUGGAAUAUACUAAAAAGUUGCCUUCCCAUAUCUACUGACUACAAAACAUAGGAAAUGCUUCAGCCCUCUCCCUGUCCUUCUUUUCCAAUCACUCUAUUCCUGAUAGCUCAGAAUUUUGGUAUUAGGCGCUUCAAGUUAUAGUGUAAUUUAAUAAUUUAAACAACUUAUGUGAACAUACUAGUAUAUUAACAAAUAUGCGAACAAAUUAUAUGAUCUGCAGCAUGUUUCUGAACCUUUCCUUAUAUACUACAUCAUCUAAAUAUACUUGUGCCUUUUGAUAUAGUUUAAUUUGUAUAAUGUGAAUUGCUUGAUGUGGUUUCUCUUUGUUGUUAUACUCCAUUUUUAGGUUGCAAACUACAGUGAAGGACUUUGUUGGGUGUUGCUUUACUUUCUGAAAGAUUGUGAAAAAGAGAAUGAUAAGUGAGAAACAAAAAGAGGUGGAAAUGGUGGUGAUUCAAAUAAGAUAGAAUUAUAUAUGUGUAGUAUGUCAGCUCUAUGUUAUUGAAACUCACUCUAAUUAGCAAAUUCAUACAUUUACACUAUAAUAUGUGUAGUUGAAUGUCAUAAUUUAUCUUAUCAUGAUAAAUCAACCAAAGAUUAACGUUUUUGAUUUUAUUGCAGAUGAUUAUUAUGCAGUUUUGGGUUUGGUAAUAAUAAAAAGCUCGACUUCAAAUUUAUUUAGUUAAUCUUGAUGUAUUAGGAUUUCCCAAUUUGUCUGUAUUUUUUUGUGUCUUCUAUUAUGCUGUCAUAAAAAAAAUUAUAAAAAAAUUGAGACGUAUGGGUUAGUCUACAAGAAAUUGUGCUUGCUUUAGGCUCUUUUGUUAUCAUGCAGUUACCUUUCAUUUGUAGUGACAAGAGAGUACAUCAUUGGCCGUUGGAUUUGGCAAAUAUGUAGGAAACUAUUACUACUAUAGGACAAGGUAUGCAUUGAGGCUGUGAAUCACAAGCUGAGUCGAGGAGAUGAGAACGCCGUGGGGCCGAGGAGACGUUGGUGGACCGAACGAAACCAUUCGUCACAGACGUCCACAGCUGCUCCCAGAAUCUGACCUCGAGCUGUGAAUCAUAAGUUGAGUCCUCAUAGGCAUUGAGGCAGUCGAGGUAGAGUAGGAGAUGCAUUUAUAUUGAUGUAUUUGGAAAUAUGUUGGGAGAUGCAAUUUUUGUUGUGUAUUUAGAAAUAUGGUGGAGAUACAAGUGAUGGUGUAAAUACAAUGAGGAGAUCUGCCUUUUUUAUGUUGUGUACCUCUUGUUACUACAUACGAAAUAAAAGAGAUCAUUACACUUUAAA